rnacentral:rRNA from 1 species
UACGUAGGGUGCGAGCGUUAAUCGGAAUUACUGGGCGUAAAGCGUGCGCAGGCGGUUUUGUAAGCCAGAUGUGAAAUCCCCGGGCUUAACCUGGGAAUGGCAUUUGGGACUGCAAGGCUUGAGUGCGGCAGAGGAGACUGGAAUUCCUGGUGUAGCGGUGGAAUGCGCAGAUAUCAGGAGGAACACCGAUGGCGAAGGCAGGUCUCUGGGCCGCAACUGACGCUGAGGAGCGAAGGCAUGGGGAGCGAACAGG